rnacentral:rRNA from 1 species
CAAGCCGGCCAUAGCGUCAGGGUGCGACCCAAUCCCAUUCCGAACUUGGAAGUCAAACCUGAUGUCGCUGUUGUGCUACUAAG